GACAGGGUCUCCCUCUGUUGUCCAAGGCUGGAGUGUAGUAGUGCUAUCGCAGCUGACUGCAGCCUCAACCUUCCAGGCUGAAGCGAUCCUCCCACCUCAACCUCCCACGUGGCUGAGACUACAGGUGCUUGCCACUAUGCCCAACUAACAUUUGGAAUUUUCGUAUACGUGGAUUCUAGAGGGGUGACAGCGAAACCUGCAGGACAAGUUCGAGCAUCUUAAAAUGAUUCAACAGGAGGAGAUAAGGAAGCUCGAGGAAGAGAAAAAACAACUGGAAGGAGAAAUCAUAGAUUUUUAUAAAAUGAAAGCUGCCUCUGAAGCACUGCAGACUCAGCUGAGCACCGAUACAAAGAAAGACAAACAUCCUGAUCCAUAUGAAUUCCUCUUAUUAAGAAAAAUAAAGCAUCCAGGAUUCAAUGAA
ensembl:lncRNA novel transcript